CACUAAAAAUUUUUGUUAUUAAUGUUAUUAUUAUUAUUAAUUAUUAUUAUUGCAUUUUUGCUAACAAUUUCUGCAAAUAAUUUUUUCGUCAUACGAGUGUUUUAGUAUCUCCUCCAGCAAAUGAUGCAAAACAUUUGCGAAAGAUGGUUUGCAACAACAUCAAAACAAUUCUGUCGUAAGUGAUAUUUAAUAAUCAUGAGUAUGUCUUGAAUGUCCGUGAACCAAACAGAGUAUGAUAAUUAAAAUUUAUAAAUAAAAGAAAACAGAACCUAUUACUCCAGACAGUUUUGGAUAAAAUGGAACAAAAAUUAUGGAUGUGGAUAUGUGGUAUUCUUGUUCUUGUAACUAUAGGCAAUUGUGCAAGUCGUCAUGUUCAGCCUAAUAUCACAAAAUGUAUGUACUACAACCAAACUUUAUGUGAAAGUUCUCGAGGUACAUAUGGUUGUGGAAAUGUUACCCAAGAUUGUAUCUCUGCUGAUAAUGAUAAACCAUCAUAUUGUUAUACUGUUUGGACAAACACUACCAAUCAGUUAUCAAUAAAGCUUCAGGGAUGUUUUUUAAAUAACAUCGAAUGUCAUGGUCAAAAACAAUGCAAAGAUAAAAAAGAUGAAAUCAAACCUAAUGGUUUCUUUUUUUGUUGCUGUGAUGGAGACUAUUGUAAUUCUGAAUUUUUUUGGGACCCUAUUCCAACAACUCCUCGAACAGAAACAUCUGCAAAACCAAUGUAUGAUAAUAAUGAAUUAAUACACACUAUUGUAUUUUCUACUAUACCAUUAGUAGCUGUGGCCAGUAUGUUUUUAUUUGUUUAUUGGGUAUAUAAACGAAGAAAAAUUCCUCAUUUUUCUCAUUGGGUUCCAUCAUCUGAUAGCUCUCACUUAGGAAAUUGCUCUCCUAUACUUAGCAAUCGUCCUAUACAACUAGUAGAAGUAAAGGCUCGAGGUCGUUAUGGUGCUGUUUGGAAAGCCCUUCACAAGAAGGAUACAGUUGCUGUUAAAAUAUUCCCUCCUCAGGAUAAAAACUCGUGGUUGGUAGAACAAGAUAUUUAUCAACUACCUCACAUGCAACAUCAAAAUAUACUAUCAUUCAUUGGUGCUGAAAAACAUGCUAGUGUUAUUGAAGGUGCCAAAAAUGAGUACUGGUUAAUUACUGCUUACCAUGAUUAUGGAUCAUUAUGUGACUACUUAAAAUCAAAUAUAUUAACAUGGGAUCAACUUUGUCAUAUUGCCCAAUCCAUGGCCAGAGGUUUAAUGCAUUUGCAUGAAGAAAUUCCAUCAGAACGAUCAGAUCAAUAUAAACCUGCCAUUGCUCAUAGAGAUUUUAAAAGUAAUAAUGUUCUACUAAAACAUGAUUUAACUGCUUGUAUUGCUGAUUUUGGCCUUGCUUUGGUAUUUCAACCUGGCAAGUCAUGUGGUGAUACACAUGGACAGGUUGGCACAAGAAGAUAUAUGGCACCCGAAGUAUUAGAAGGAGCAAUUAAUUUUUCAAGAGAUGCAUUUUUAAGAAUAGAUAUGUAUGCAUGUGGCUUAGUACUAUGGGAAUUAGCAGCUAGAUGUACAGCACAACAAGGAGCUAUACCUGAUUAUAGGUUGCCUUUCGAAGAGGAAGUUGGGCAACAUCCAUCUUUAGAAGACAUGCAAGAAUGUGUAGUUCAUAAAAAACUAAGACCGGCUUUUAAAGACAGUUGGAAAUCACAUCCAGGUUUAAUUGCUUUAUGUGAUACUAUGGAAGAGUGUUGGGAUCAUGAUGCAGAAGCUAGAUUAUCAGCAUCUUGUGUAAUGGAACGCAUUACUUGGCAAUGUCGUCAACAGCUAUAUCAACAUUAGUGUCAUCAGUACCUUAAAAUAUUUUAACUGUAUUAUAAUUCAAUCCAACUCAUCAGUAACCUAGCUUCUGCAGGUUAGAAAAUUGCUGUUUCCUUUUGCUUAGUACAACUACAAGCAAAUGCCAAGACUGCUGCUUCAUACAAUAGUUGUUUACAUUAAAAAAUUAAAUCUGCACAUAAUUUUUUUAUUUACCACAUAAAUAUUGUACAUAGUAAAAGAGUAAA
rnacentral:misc_RNA from 1 species